rnacentral:rRNA from 1 species
AUUGAACGCUGGCGGCAGGCCUAACACAUGCAAGUCGAGCGAGCGGCGGACGGGUGAGUAAUGUCUGGGAAACUGCCUGAUGGAGGGGGAUAACUACUGGAAACGGUAGCUAAUACCGCAUACCAUCAGAUGUGCCCAGUUGGGAUUGGCUAGUGGGUGGGGUAAUGGCUCACCUAGGCGACGAUCCCUAGCUGGUCUGAGAGGAUGACCAGCCACACUGGAACUGGGACACGGUCCAGACGCCUACGGGAGGCAGCAGUGGGGAAUAUUGGACAAGGGGGGCAAGCCUGAGGCAGACAUGCCGGGUGUAUGAAGAGGGCCUUCGGUCGGUAAAGUACUUUCAGCGGGGAGGCGUUACCCGCAGAAGAAGCACCGGCUAACUACGUGCCAGCAGCCGCGGUAAUUC